AUUGAACGCUGGCGGCAGGCCUAACACAUGCAAGUCGAGCGAGCGGCGGACGGGUGAGUAAUGUCUGGGAAACUGCCUGAUGGAGGGGGAUAACUACUGGAAACGGUAGCUAAUACCGCAUACAAUCAGAUGUGCCCAGAUGGGAGUAGCUAGUAGGUGGGGUAACGGCUCACCUAGGCGACGAUCCCUAGCUGGUCUGAGAGGAUGACCAACCACACUGGAACUGAUUCACGGUCCAGACUCCUGCAUGAGGCAGCAGUGGUGAAUCUUGCCCAAUGGGCGCGAGCCUGAUGCAGCCAUGCGGCGUGUGUGACGGAGGCCUUCGGGUUGUAAAGCACUUUCCGCGGGGAGGCGUUACCCGCUGAAGAAGCACCGGCUAACUCCGUGCCAGCAGCCGCGGUAAUUC
rnacentral:rRNA from 1 species